rnacentral:rRNA from 1 species
AAAUUGAAGAGUUUGAUCAUGGCUCAGAUUGAACGCUGGCGGCAGGCCUAACACAUGCAAGUCGAACGGUAACAGGAAACAGCUUGCUGUUUCGCUGACGAGUGGCGGACGGGUGAGUAAUGUCUGGGAAACUGCCUGAUGGAGGGGGAUAACUACUGGAAACGGUAGCUAAUACCGCAUAACGUCGCAAGACCAAAGAGGGGGACCUUCGGGCCUCUUGCCAUCGGAUGUGCCCAGAUGGGAUUAGCUAGUAGGUGGGGUAACGGCUCACCUAGGCGACGAUCCCUAGCUGGUCUGAGAGGAUGACCAGCCACACUGGAACUGAGACACGGUCCAGACUCCUACGGGAGGCAGCAGUGGGGAAUAUUGCACAAUGGGCGCAAGCCUGAUGCAGCCAUGCCGCGUGUAUGAAGAAGGCCUUCGGGUUGUAAAGUACUUUCAGCGGGGAGGAAGGGAGUAAAGUUAAUACCUUUGCUCAUUGACGUUACCCGCAGAAGAAGCACCGGCUAACUCCGUGCCAGCAGCC